GACGAACGCUGGCGGCGUGCUUAACACAUGCAAGUCGAACGAAGUGGCGAACGGGUGAGUAACGCGUAAUUAACCUGCCCUUCAGAGGGGGAAAACAGUUGGAAACGACUGCUAAUACCGCAUACUGAAGGAGGGGAUUGCGUCUGAUUAGCUAGUUGGAGGGGUAACGGCCCAACAAGGCGAUGAACAGUAGCCGGGCUGAGAGGGUUAACGGCCAAAUGGGGAAUGGGACAAUGCCCAGACUCCUACGGGAGGCAGCAGGGGGGAAUCUUCCGCAAUGGACGAAAGUCUGACGGAGCAACGCCGCGGGAGUGAUGACGGCCUUCGGGGUGUAAAGCUCUGUUAAUCGGGACGCGGUACCGGAAUAGAAAGCCACGGCUAACUACGUGCCAGCAGCCGCGGUAAUAC
rnacentral:rRNA from 1 species